UACGUAGGCAGCAAGCGUUGUUCGGAGUUACUGGGCGUAAAGGGUGUGUAGGCGGUUAUUUAAGUUUGGUGUGAAAUCUCCCGGCUCAACCGGGAGGGUGCGCCGAAUACUGAAUGACUUGGAGUGCGGGAGAGGAGAGUGGAAUUCCUGGUGUAGCGGUGAAAUGCGUAGAUAUCAGGAGGAACACCGGUGGUGUAGACGGCUUUCUGGACCGUAACUGACGCUGAGACACGAAAGCGUGGGUAGCAAACAGG
rnacentral:rRNA from 1 species